rnacentral:rRNA from 1 species
CAGCAGCCACGGUAAUACAGAGGGUGCGAGCGUUAAUCGGAUUUACUGGGCGUAAAGCGUGCGUAGGCGGCUUCUUAAGUCGGAUGUGAAAUCCCUGAGCUUAACUUAGGAAUUGCAUUCGAUACUGGGAAGCUAGAGUAUGGGAGAGGAUGGUAGAAUUCCAGGUGUAGCGGUGAAAUGCGUAGAGAUCUGGAGGAAUACCGAUGGCGAAGGCAGCCAUCUGGCCUAAUACUGACGCUUAGGUACGAAAGCAUGGGGAGCAAACAGGAUUAGAUACCCCAGUAGUCCCUGUCUCUUAUAC